ensembl:lncRNA
AAUGCACGUAAAAUCAAGGAGCACUGUUUCUGGCACACUGGGACAGGACUGUUACUAAGCCCAGUUUGAAGAUGAGGAAGCAGGGGCAUACAGAGGAGUGAACAAGACCUGGAUAUAUUUGAGGGAAGGAGGCAGAGGAAGGAUGGCUCUGGCAGGGUCAUGUAGGAGCUCUGUGUGGCGUCUCACCAACAGGAGACCAAACUGGAGGGUUGUGGAGUGAGAAAAAGUCAAGUUUAUCCUGUCCACAGAGGCUCCCAGCAUGAAGUCAAGACAUGAUUUUGAAGGCAGACAGCCGAGCGAGAACUCCAGCUCCCCAUUGCCUGCUCUGUGACCCCUCAGUGUCCCCAGCUGCAGAUGGCAUAAUAAUAACACUCACCCCAUAGGCCUGCCGUGAGGGAUUAAUGCCUGUGAAGCACUCAGAACAGUGUCUGGUACAGAGUAAGUGCUAUGUGGGUGUUUGUGAAAAAUAAACACGGGGC